AUUCGUUAUUUUGUUAUUUUAAAUUCGGAUUCACGGGUGUAAUAACGAAGAAGCUAUUAGUUUUACUGAGAUGUGUUUUGUUUUUUAAACACUUUUCCGAUUGUUGAAAAUGUUCCGAGUUUUCGUGCCACUGCACAUUAAAUGAUAUGGAUUUUCCACUUGAUUGCAUUUAAAUUGAAAUUCUUAACAUUUCAAAGCCUAGAUUUUUUUUUUCUUGUUUAGUAAAAACAACUUGAAAAGCUCUCAGGUCUACCUAGCGAAGUAUGUUCGGCUUUAUUUUUAUUCUGUUUAAAAUUUACUGAUCUAACCGAGUUUACGGAUUUAUGCUUAUUAUAGUAUAUAGUAAUC